GGUGCUGAAUGAGCCUGGCCAGGCAGGGAGCGCUGAGCCCAACCGGUUCGGUUCCUAGCAGGCUUCUCGAUCCCAAUUUCUGCCCCUCCCCAGCAAGAGCUGUUGUGUUCCGUCUUUUAAAAAAGACUGAAAAUUUUUUCGCCGUUGUCUAACAAACAAGAAUACCAAAAGAGUCCCAAUAGCGUAGGAAUAAAGCACUCAAGCAUUUGAGCCAGUUUGGUUUUUAAAGAGUUUCAGUAAUGGGUAACAGAGGAGAAAAGUGAAGAAAUAAAGAUGCAGGCUGUCUGCUACAUUAAGUUGCUAGAGUUAGAUUAAAUUGACGGGGGGGGGACGACUGAAUUGUUGAGGGAAAUAAAGAUGAUAGGGGAAGAUUCUUUACCUGGAGUUUAGGGAAUGGACAGAGUUCGGGGGGGGGGGUGUCUAUGUCUAUCACCCAUAUGACUUGAUCACUUUAAAAUCUGUCCACAGCCACCUUUGCUGUACCCUCCAUGCUGCUCUUUGAUUCAGUCAUACAUUGUGUUUUGUUUGCUAUUUCUGCUGCACCACCCGUUCCAGCCACGGCCUUUCCCCAUCACUGCAUUAGAUUUCCCCCCAUCUCUUUCCUUCCUGUUCUUUCCAAUCCUUUUUUUUUUUUUCUGUUUGUCUUUUUCUAAUCUGUCACAUUUAUUUCCCUGGAGUCAAUUUGCUAAAAUUAAGGUGAUCAUCUACAGCACAGCAGGAGUAAUUUGGGCUCGCAUCUCUGAAAAUUGCUCUAAUUAUUGAUGUUAAACUCAGGGAAAUUAAAAGAAGCCACUUCUCUUCCAUCUCCCAAUUUUUAAGCUCUAAUUUGUUGAUAUCUAGUCGUCAUCACAAUUCCAAUCACUACUGCUAAUAGCAAAAGUGUCUUAACGGAGACUGAGUCCUCACAACCCAUGCUAUUAGAUAAUUAGAGGAGGUGCUGUGAAGUCAAGUGUUAAUCCUUGGGCACUGCAGUAGGAUUUCCAUCUGAUCUAGCAGGUAGAACAAAUUAAUUACCAGAAUCAAUUAGGCACCAAACUUCAGUGCUUCAGGAAGUGGAAGUGUCCUAUUCCACAUGGACACACGGGUAAGCAGAUAGGAGAGGAAGCAGAAGAAAGCGUGGUGGGGAGAUAGGGAAAUAAAGUCUUGGUAAGAAGGCAUGUAAAUGAAGUCGGAACUGUUUCUCUUUGUCUGAGAGGUGACUUGUGUUUUGAAGUUUGUAAUAGUAAGAAGAGAAGGUGGGAGAGGAGAUGACCACCGAAAGGGGGAUAGUAGAGUUUACAGAAGUUCCCUGACCAAGUCAUCGUCCUGGCCAAGUCAUCGCUUAUGGUACUGAGGGAGAUGAAGGAAAACGUUGAAGGGGCGCUGAGGUGACGAUCCACACAAUGGAAGUCCAUCCAUCUCUACUCUCAGUGCUCCCUUCUAGCUGGGUACUUUAUUUUAAGCACUACCCAAGUGGAUGACAUGUCUACAAAAAGAACAGGAGUCGCUGGCUGCUUCUAGCAAAUGCAUCUUCAAAACAAAUGCUUUUGUGCAGGAAGUUAGGAUGUGAACCCUCAUGAGAAACACAUUCAAAGAUGCUGCAUUGAAAACCCAGCAUUUCUAAUGUGACAAGGGCUAAAUUCAACCAGUUUGCUCAUUGAUGGAUGAAUGGUCUAUAAAGGUAUAAGAUCUUCUGUU